rnacentral:rRNA from 1 species
GACGAACGCUGGCGGCGUGCUUAACACAUGCAAGUCGAACGGAAAGGCCCCCUUGUGGGGUACUCGAGUGGCGAACGGGUGAGUAACACGUGAGUAACCUACCCUUGACUUUGGGAUAACUUCAGGAAACUGGGGCUAAUACCGGAUAGGAGCUCCUGCUGCAUGGUGGGGGUUGGAAAGUUUCGGCGGUUGGGGAUGGACUCGCGGCUUAUCAGCUUGUUGGUGGGGUAGUGGCUCACCAAGGCUUUGGCGGGUAGCCGGCCUGAGAGGGUGACCGGCCACAUUGGGACUGAGAUACGGCCCAGACUCCUACGGGAGGCAGCAGUGGGGAAUAUUGCACAAUGGGCGGAAGCCUGAUGCAGCAACGCCGGGUGCGGGAUGACGGCCUUCGGGUUGUAAACCGCUUUCGCCUGUGACGAAGCGUGAGUGACGGUAAUGGGUAAAGAAGCACCGGCUAACUACGUG